rnacentral:tRNA from 1 species
UUCGACGUAGCUCAAUUGGCAGAGCGUCCGACUGUUAAUCGGAUGGUUGAAGGUUCGAGUCCUUCCGUCGGAG